rnacentral:rRNA from 1 species
CAGAGGGGGCAAGCGUUAUUCGGAAUUAUUGGGCGUAAAGGGCGCGUAGGCGGCCUUGCAAGUGACGGGUGAAAUCCCUCGGCUCAACCGAGGAACUGCCUGUCAGACUGCAUGGCUUGAGACCGGGAGAGGUGAGUGGAAUUCCCAGUGUAGCGGUGAAAUGCGUAGAUAUUGGGAGGAACACCAGUGGCGAAGGCGGCUCACUGGACCGGUACUGACGCUGAGGCGCGAAAGCGUGGGGAGCAAACAGGAUUAGAUACCCUGGUAGUCCACGCCGUAAACGAUGAGUGCUUGGUGUGGCGGGUAUCGACCCCUGCUGUGCCGAAGUCAACACAUUAAGCACUCCGCCUGGGGAGUACGGUCGCAAGACUG